rnacentral:rRNA from 1 species
UACGUAGGGUGCAAGCGUUAAUCGGAAUUACUGGGCGUAAAGCGUGCGCAGGCGGCUUUGCAAGUCAGAUGUGAAAUCCCCGGGCUCAACCUGGGAACUGCACUUGUGACUGCAUGGCUAGAGUACGGUAGAGGGGGAUGGAAUUCCGCGUGUAGCAGUGAAAUGCGUAGAUAUGCGGAGGAACACCGAUGGCGAAGGCAAUCCCCUGGACCUGUACUGACGCUCAUGCACGAAAGCGUGGGGAGCAAACAGG